GGCCUACCUCUUUGGGGCAAUCGAUAGCAGAGCUCUGUGAUCGAUUGCCCCAAAGAGGUAGGCC
rfam:Myotis lucifugus cont2.26992, whole genome shotgun sequence.